rnacentral:rRNA from 1 species
UACGAAGGGGGCUAGCGUUGCUCGGAUUGACUGGGCGUAAAGGGCGCGUAGGCGGUUCGUACAGUCAGACGUGAAAUUCCUGGGCUCAACCUGGGGGCUGCGUUUGAUACGUGCGGGCUUGAGUGCGGAAGAGGGUCGUGGAAUUCCCAGUGUAGAGGUGAAAUUCGUAGAUAUUGGGAAGAACACCGAUGGCGAAGGCAGCCCCCUGGGCUGAGAUUGACGCUCAGGCACGAAAGCGUGGGGAGCAAACAGG